CCUACGGGUGGCAGCAGUGGGGAAUAUUGCUCAAUGGGGGAAACCCUGAAGCAGCAACGCCGCGUGGAGGAUGAAGGUUUUCGGAUUGUAAACUCCUUUUGUUAGAGAAGAUAAUGACGGUAUCUAACGAAUAAGCACUGGCUAACUCCGUGCCAGCAGCCGCGGUAAUACGGAGGGUGCAAGCGUUACUCGGAAUCACUGGGCGUAAAGAGCGCGUAGGCGGGAUAGCAAGUCAGAUGUGAAAUCCUUUGGCUUAACCAUAGAACUGCAUUUGAAACUGUUAUUCUAGAGUAUGGUAGAGGGAGGUGGAAUUCUUGGUGUAGGGGUAAAAUGCGUAGAGAUCAAGAGGAAUACUCAUUGCGAAGGCGACCUGCUAGAACAUAACUGACGCUGAGGCGCGAAAGCGUGGGGAGCAAACAGGAUUAGAUACCCGGGUAGUC
rnacentral:rRNA from 1 species